rnacentral:rRNA from 1 species
UUUCCUACGGGUGGCAGCAGUGGGGAAUAUUGGACAAUGGGCGCAAGCCUGAUCCAGCCAUGCCGCGUGAGUGAUGAAGGCCCUAGGGUUGUAAAGCUCUUUCACCGAUGAAGAUAAUGACGGUAGUCGGAGAAGAAGCCCCGGCUAACUUCGUGCCAGCAGCCGCGGUAAUACGAAGGGGGCUAGCGUUGUUCGGAAUUACUGGGCGUAAAGCGCACGUAGGCGGAUAUUUAAGUCAGGGGUGAAAUCCCAGAGCUCAACUCUGGAACUGCCUUUGAUACUGGGUAUCUCGAGUAUGGAAGAGGUGAGUGGAAUUCCGAGUGUAGAGGUGAAAUUCGUAGAUAUUCGGAGGAACACCAGUGGCGAAGGCGGCUCACUGGUCCAUUACUGACGCUGAGGUGCGAAAGCGUGGGGAGCAAACAGGAUUAGAUACCCCUGUAGUCC